ensembl:lncRNA
AACCUUUUUGCUGUCGUGACUGAUGGAAAACUCCUUCUGCUUUCAUCUCUACCUGCCAAGCCCACAAUGGUAAAUGGUACAGAUCGGAAGGUGUGACCAGAACUGUGCUGACAGUAACAAGCCAGCUCUGCCAAGGCAACGAGGACCGGGAGGCUUCAAAUGAUUUUGAAUUUAGAGGCCAUGGCAGGAUACAGUGAGCCCAGUACCCAGGGAGCAGAGGAACCAGCUCCUGACCCAGCCUGCCCCCCGGGGUGCAGAUCAAAGCUGAUAGCUGGAGUCUGUUCCAGUUUCCAAGGAAAUAGACAAAAGCAAACUGCCUAAAAUGCUUAGGCUGGACGGGUUCCUGCAGGACACAGAAGGCGUGUUCAACUGGGAUUGUGAAAACUUGAACCAAGGGACUAUUUACAGAGGGAAGGGAGCUAUGUUUCAGGAGCCCAAUGAAGGGGCACCUGGCUGGAGCUGCAUUCAUCGAGGUGGCAGCGCAAGGAGGAAGCUGAGCAAUCAAGACUCUCACCGUUCUCUCCUCCUGCCCUCCAGUCUCCUACAUCACCUACGCCAGUGGAAGCCAGCAGACAGGGGAGGUAGGAGUUGCAAACCAAGAAUCUACCUGGAGGGGCAUGUUGUCCACACUUCUUUUAUGACCUAUCUGUGUGGGUUUCUUGGCAGAUCUGGCAGGAAAGGAGCUCAGAAAACCACAUCCCAAAGAGGGGAUGUGACAAUGCAAUCCAUAUAA